ensembl:lncRNA
AUGUCAGUGCCACCAUCGAGAAACGAGCCAACAGAUGUUGCCUCCGUGAGUUCUAGUCUUCAGGAAUGUGACAGAGGCAGCAGACGCUGUUUGGACUGGCAGUGGAUGCCAAGGGCAGUCGGCCGGGUGGUGCCCCAGGAAGAGAGGGGCCCCUGCUCCGCGGGAAACCCACUAUUAAGACGAUUUGGUGCGGGGCAGUGGUGUGUCAGCAUUUGUGUCAGUCAAAAGAAAAAAGAAAGAAAGAAAAUAUCCCCAGGCCAGUUACUCUUAAUGGUUUUUGGUUCCGGAUAGCUUUGAAAAUCUGAUGAAAGCUGGGAUCUCUCUUCUGCAGACGUGUGCACACAUACCCACAUUUUGCAUGGAAUCCGGAGGGCUCACUGGCUUCCUGAUGCCCAACCACGGAGCCCCGGGCCCGGAUUAAGGACCUCUGCCAUAGGUCAAAGUGUGUAGUAAAAAGAGGCUGACCGUGGCACCAGAUGGCCGCCGUCAUGUCCUGGCACUUCCCUGGCAUGACCUUACAUCUGUGACCUCAGGCCUGACUUCGCUCUGCUGUAGAAUAGAUACUAGCAUCUCCUUCGCCAAGUGGCCCUGUCAUCGAGGAUGAGCUUGCUCCAAGUCAGUGUGUAGAGUGUGGCCCAGGUAGGGAAGCGGAUGAGACCACUUACUCCCUGAGCUAGUGUUUGUGGGGCACCUACUACCUGCAGACCUCUCGCAGAGUACUGGGGACUCAGGGACAAAUAGGAGCCUCUGCUCUCCAGGAGCUCACAAAACAUUUUCAGUUUCCCAGGAAAGGGCUGAGGCAGCCUCAGCUGGUGCCAUGACCAAGGUGGACAGGAAUGAAUUCAGGAGCCAUUAAGGGGUGAGGCUUCAUGAAUAAGACUGGCUCUGGGAGCUGAGGCUGGAACAAGAGGAAACCCGAGUGUACCUUUCCAGCUAUACAAAAGGCCUGACCUCAGGAUCAUGCAUUUUUUAUACAAGCCCAGAAUGCAGCAGCUUUGAGGUCUGGUAACAGCGCCUAGAAUCCCCCCCAGAGGGUUGAGCCUCCAAUGUAGUCUUCCACAAAUUACUCUGGUUGUUGCACUUUGGCAACCGUGAUCUAAGGGGAGCUACUGAGCCCUGCUUUCUGCUAGAGCCGGGAAGGAUAGACAUAGCCUCUCAGCUCCACCAAGCCUUUCUUGUUCACGAAUGGGGACUGACACACAGGAGGCACUCCCUUAGCAUUUGCUAGAAGGAACUAAUGAAUGGGCUCAUCUAGGGGGAAGCACACAAAAGAGGACAGGGCAGGUGAUGCUAAGAAUACUUGGUUGGGAGGCCUUGGGGACUUGGCCUUUAGGGGGCAACAGGAGCAGGAAUUAAUGAGAUAGAAAGGGGGACGCGAAGGGAACAGACACAGGGAGGACUGUCAGCAGGCAGGAGACCUGCAAAGUCAAGACACGGAGAAGGUCCAUGAGGUUGGAGCACUGAGCCCCGGAGGGGGGGUUCAAAGGGUGGCUGGAGGGGCAGACCAUACAGGGCCCUUUUGUAGCUGGUGGUCUGUCAGUCUCCUGAGCUGUGGGAGGCCACUGAAUGGCUUCAAACGCCUUGGGAGAUUUUCUUCUCUGCUUUUCUAAUCCUGACAACAGCAGCAUGACGGAGCAUACUCUGUACACUUGUCAUUUGCCUUCCCAGACUCAUCUCUCUUUUCUUCCUGGACACAGUGCCCUGGAUUUCCCUUGGCAAUCUACCCCUCCCAUCCCCUUGGCCAUGAGAUCCGGUUGGGACUGGUCCCAUGCCAGCUCCAGGAGGUCCCUCAUUGCCCCAAGUCAAGGAAUAUGUCCUCCUCUUGACCAUAGGAAUUGAUUUGAUGAUGGUCACAAAACACAUUCAGCACAAACGAAAUGAGAGGAGACAUUGGCCAUGGACUUCCAGGAUGUGAGGCUCUAUCUUCCAUAGGAACUAUCGAAAGACACUUUUUUUUCUCCUGGAUGAUUUGGUAUAAAAAUCCCACCUACCUCAGAAGCUGUAGCAGGAGAAGAGCCUGUGACUCCUAUAGGCCACCGUGUGAUAUUGAAAGAUGGAACUGACAUUUUGAAAGACAGAGCCAAGUAAUAUAGAUAAAUGAAGCUUGAUGAUCUUCCGUGAGCACCUGGAUCCAGCCUCACCUGAUGCCAACUACUUCUAGGCCUUUCAACUUUCCCAGCCACUAAUUUUCUUUUGUUUUUAAGGUCGUUUUUCAAUUGGGUUUUGGGCAUAAAGGUACUUAAUUGAUUGAUGCAGGCGGUUGAACCAGUGCUCUGAUGUUGCUGAUUCUGCAGAACAGUUUUUACAAAGACUUCGAAAGACAGAGGCAUCUGGGAAGUAGCAGCUAUGUGGAAACAGUAAUCUGAAAGCAUGAAAUCUCAUAUUUUACCAAAGUAUUAUGAUGGGCCAUCAGUCCAAAACUUCACACCACAAUACAACCAAAUUCACAGUGAGUGGUCUGAAAUGCAUGUGGACACGGUUGCAAAGAUUCGGGAUUCAGUUUCCAUUUGGAGGAGAGCCUAGAAUUUUUGGAUGUUUCCCUAAGGAUUCAAGCUGGUGGAUCUGAAAAGCCAGCAGGGGGAUCUCCUGAGAGGCGUUUUUACAACUCUCCAGGAUACUUCCUCCCUGAGGAUAAGAAGGCACUUUUCUUCUGGUCCUUAGGCCCUUCCAUGGUGGAAAGUUGGCUGGAAAUCAGAAGGGAUGAGUAAUGAGGAAAAGUUUGCUUCAAAGAGCAGCAUUUGGUUUGGGCUGGGCUUAAAUAAUCAGUGGAAGGCCUGGUGGGUGGGUUCAUGUUUGUCGAAGGCCAUUCAUUGCUCCCUGGUGCUGGGCAUGCUUGGCCAUCUCUUCUUUUUGUACUCAAGGAAGACGACAAAGGGCAAGUGGCAGGCCUGCUGUGCUGAGGCCUGAGUCUCAGCCGGCGGGCAGAAUGGACCCUGUGGAAUCCGCAUGGCCUCUAUUCUUUCAAGGUGUCUGGAGCCUCAGGGCUCUUUCUCCUGAACAACCUGCUCAGAGCUUUUUCCAGAAAGGAAACCAAGGGGGACGAGUAGAAAUGACAUUUGAUCUGCCUUUACAUGACCUGUUGGAAUUUGCUUUUCAUAGACAAUAUUUUUUUGGCUCUUCUAUGAAUCGAACAGUUGCCUACUCUCUCUGAACUUCCAUUUCUCCUUUGGCUCAAUGAGGACCAUGCCACCUCCUGCUCCAAUAAGUUGCUUUAAAAUGAAAAGAAAUAUCAUAUGGAAAUUGCUCCAUACAGUCCCACCCGUUAAUGAGCUCACUAAAUAUUGGUUGUAACAGGCAGGCAAAUUCCAACGUGAGAACGCUACAAAAAUUGUAGUCCAGUGUCAUGAAAUGUCAUGUUGCCGUGAAAAGGAAAAAUAAAAAUCUAACUAAAUAAAAGCUAACUGCUUUG